rnacentral:rRNA from 1 species
GAUGAACGCUGGCGGCGUGCCUAAUACAUGCAAGUCGAGCGAACAGACGAGGAGCUUGCUCCUCUGACGUUAGCGGCGGACGGGUGAGUAACACGUGGAUAACCUACCUAUAAGACUGGGAUAACUUCGGGAAACCGGAGCUAAUACCGGAUAAUAUAUUGAACCGCAUGGUUCAAUAGUGAAAGACGGUUUUGCUGUCACUUAUAGAUGGAUCCGCGCCGCAUUAGCUAGUUGGUAAGGUAACGGCUUACCAAGGCGACGAUGCGUAGCCGACCUGAGAGGGUGAUCGGCCACACUGGAACUGAGACACGGUCCAGACUCCUACGGGAGGCAGCAGUAGGGAAUCUUCCGCAAUGGGCGAAAGCCUGACGGAGCAACGCCGCGUGAGUGAUGAAGGUCUUCGGAUCGUAAAACUCCGUUAUUAGGGAAGAACAAGUGUGUAAGUAACUAUGCACGUCUUGACGGUACCUAAUCAGAAAGCCACGGCUAACUACGUG